rfam:Geoalkalibacter ferrihydriticus DSM 17813 scaffold3, whole genome shotgun sequence.
CGCUCUCUGCCCUACAGGUGAGGUCAAGAACGCCCACGCGGAAUAAUUUUCUUUCGGGAUCUCCUCCCGUGACGCGGUGUGCCAGCCCGCCCCGUAGCGGGACGCCUGAUGCGUCACUUGGAGAACCCACUUUGUUGGUUCUCGUUGUGAGGCCGAUGUCCCACGGUAGGCGUGGAGAGGGC